UCGGGGGGUUGAGGUGAGGUGACGCUCUCCUCGAGAGGCAAAACCCUAAUCGCGAUGGCUCUCCGUCUCAAGCCGAAGCCCAAAACGCUAGUCCCACUUCGCUCCCUCCGCCCCUUCUCUUCCUCCUCCUCCCCCCCGCCGCCGUCCGAUUCCGAUGCGGAGAAUGAGACCUCCAAUUCGGCGGCCGUGCCCCCGUCGCGCCCUUCCUACUCCUCCUACUUCAGCGAGAUCAAGGAGCGGCUCAAGGCCCCUCCCGCUCCUCCCCGCCGGAUCCCGGCUGACCCCCCUCCGCCGCCGUCCCUCUCCUCUCCUAACUCCGGCCCCGCUACCUCCCUCGAGGAUAUCCGGAAGCACUUGGCCGGGUUCCGCCUUCGAGCCGGCGGAGCCGCCCCUCCUGCGUCCGGCGACCGCCCCGCGUCCUCGCCCCCCAUAUCCUUUCAGGAGCUCUUCAAGCACAAUGUACUUGGCAAGGCCGGUGGUGGCGUAGAGGCUGCUGAGAAGGGCGAGAAGGGCGAGAAGGGCGAGAAACUAUCUUUUGACUCCAUCCGCGAGAGCCUCCGCCAGUUCAGGUCCUCGUCGAGGGAGCAUAUGGGAUUGCGCGGGAGGGACGGACCCUCGCGGAGCUCUUUCAGCCUCGAAACCUUCCAGGACAGCUUCCGGGGUCGAAUGGGAGGGACAGAGAAAGGUCCGUCCAUCCUCGGAGGGGAGAACUUGCCCGAUUCUAUAUUCGGGAAGGAGAUGAGGGAGAAGGAGGCUGGCGAGUGGGAGCAGAAAAAGGUUCUGAAGACGGAGUUCGUGAAGAUGUAUAGCUACAACGAGUUAGGCGAGAAGCUCCGCAAGCUGAGGCCAGAGGACGCUUCCAAGGCCAACAAGGACUGGUUCACACUGACGGAGUUGAACGAGAGGCUUGCAAAGCUAAGAGAAAUGGAGGAGAAGGAGACGGAGUCAAGGAUGGGCGGGGUCUCGUUCAGGGAUCUCCGAGAAAGCCUGGUGAGGCUCAAGGAAGCAGAUGCCAAUAAGAAAGCCAACGUUCAGAGGUUGUCGAUUAUUGCAAACCUUACUGGGCAAGCCACACCAACAUUCAUGCUAAAACCCCCACAGGAACAUUUGUUGGAGAGGGUGAAUAUAUUUUCAUCCAGAUCACAUGUCUUCAGCAGAGAAGAUGAAGCUGGAGCUCAAGCGGGUUCGAGAUGAAUUUAAAAUGUCUGAAUCAGAUUGUGGCUCUGCGCCUGUUCAAGUGGCACAACUUACCACCAAAAUUAAGCACCUCAACACAGUCUUACCUAAGAAGGACAAGCACUCCAGAAAGGGACUACAGCAGAUGAUCCAGAGAAGAAAGAAACUUCUCAAGUAUCUCAGGAGGACAGACUGGGAUUCUUAUUGCCUUGUGCUGUCAAAGCUCGGCCUCAGGGACGUCCCCCCUAACAGUAAAGCCAAGUAUAAGAACUAGACCUUUCAAGUUCCAAAUGAGAGAACCCUAGAUUAGAUUCUAGUACUAGACCUUUCCUGCUCGUUGGAAUGGAUGAGAUAUUUAUUCAUUUGGAAGGCAGCAGGAUGGUACUUCUAAACUGCUCCGUGGCAUGACAUGCAUCCGGAUAUUUGGAGGAACGAUCGAGUCAUUGUUUUCUAAGUUUUUGUUGUUUUGUUCGGAACAGCACAUUGAAAUUUGCUUUUGUAAUAAUGAUGAGAUAACGAAUAUUUUACUCAUAGUGGAUCAUAAAUUUUGCUUUUAACUAAGCAGAAGUGUAGCUGCGGAAUCAAAUUAGAACUGGUUUGUUUUCGAGGUAUUCAGUUCA